AGAGUUUGAUCCUGGCUCAGGACAAACGCUGGCGGCGUGUAUUAGGCAUGCAAGUCGCACGGACCUUCGGGUCAGUGGCGGACGGGUGAGUAACACGUGGGUAACCUGCCUCGGAGUGGGGAAUAACUCGCCGAAAGGCGAGCUAAUACCGCAUACCACUUCCGGUGAGAAUCCGGGUAGUAAAAGCAGUAAUGCGCUCUGAGAGGGGNCCGCGGCCGAUUAGCUUGUUGGUGGGGUAACGGCCUACCAAGGCGACNAUCGGUAGCUGGUCUGAGAGGAUGGUCAGCCACACGGGGACUGAGAUACGGCCCCGACUCCUACGGGAGGCAGCAGCUAANAAUCUUGCGCAAUGGGCGAAAGCCUGACGCAGCAACGCCGCGUGGGGGAUGAAGGCCCUCGGGUUGUAAACCCCUUUCAGUUGGGACGAANCUUCGUCGGUGAAUANCCGGCUGGAGUGACGGUACCUUCACAANAAGCCCCGGCUAACUACNUGCCANCANCCGCGGNAAUACGUAGGGGGCUAGCGUUGUCCGGAAUCAUUGGGNGUAAAGCGCGUGUAGGCGGUUCGGUAAGUCCGCUGUGAAAGUCGGGGGCUCAACCCUCG
rnacentral:rRNA from 1 species